rnacentral:sRNA from 1 species
CGACCUUAGCGAGGGUGCUGCUACGCUGGGGGAAAAAAAAGGCCGCUUUGACUGUGCCUUGUUCUCACAGCUGGCGGGGAAGCAAGCGCCUUUUCGAAAGCCGGAGGCUCGAGUGACCCCUCUUACCACCGUCAUGGCAGUCCCAGUUGUUGAAAUUACCUCCAACAUUCAUGUCAGUGAUUCACCACUCUCCAUGAAGAGUUGAACUGGCACAAGUGGCAAUAAAUAAAUUCUACUGGGUGCAGUGGCUCUUACCUACAAUCCCAGCACCUUGAGAGGCCAGAGGAGGAUCACUUGAGGUCAGAAGUUUGAGAUUACCUGGGCAACAAAGCACAACCUCAUCUCUACAAAAAAAUUUAAAAGUUAGCCAGGUUGCAACAAGGACAGUGUCAGAGCAGGCUGUAAAAAAUGUGGCUACCCUGGUCACCUGACUUUUGAAUGCCGCAAUUUUCUCCGAGUAGACCCUAAAAGGGACAUAGUUUUG